UUAGACAGCUAGGAUGUUGGCUUAGAAGCAGCCAUCAUUUAAAGAAAGCGUAAUAGCUCACUAGUCGAGUCGGCCUGCGCGGAAGAUGUAACGGGGCUGAAAUAUAGCACCGAAGCUGCGGCAUCAGACGAAAGUCUGUUGGGUAGGGGAGCGUUGUGUAAGCGGAUGAAGGUUAAUCGAGAGGUUAGCUGGACGUAUCACAAGUGCGAAUGCUGACAUAAGUAACGAUAAAACGAGUGAAAAACUCGUUCGCCGGAAGACCAAGGGUUCCUGUCCAACGUUAAUCGGGGCAGGGUGAGUCGGCCCCUAAGGCGAGGCUGAAAAGCGUAGUCGAUGGGAAACAGGUUAAUAUUCCUGUACUUGGUAAAGCUGCGAUGUGGGGACGGAGUAGGUUAGGUUAGCGUGCUGUUGGAUAUGCACGUUUAAGUUGGUAGGUGGGAAGUUUAGGCAAAUCCGGACUUCCUUAACACUGAGAGAUGAUGACGAGGCUCUACGGAGCUGAAGUAACUGAUACCACACUUCCAGGAAAAGCCACUAAGCGACAGGUUUUACUAAACCGUACUGAAAACCGACACAGGUGGUCAGGUAGAGAAUACUCAGGCGCUUGAGAGAACUCGGGUGAAGGAACUAGGCAAAAUAGCACCGUAACUUCGGGAGAAGGUGCGCCGGCGUAG
rnacentral:rRNA from 1 species